rnacentral:rRNA from 1 species
UACGUAGGGCCCGAGCGUUGUCCGGAUUUAUUGGGCGUAAAGAGUAUGUAGGUGGUCAUUUAAGUCGGUGUUUAAAGUCCCAGGCUCAACUUGGGUUUUGGCACCGAUACUAUCUGACUUGAGGUUAUCAGGGGCAAGUGGAAUUGGCGGUGUAGCAGUGAAAUGCGUUGAUAUCGCUAAGAACACCAAUGGCGAAGGCAGCUUGCUAUGAUUUCUCUGACACUGAGAUACGAAAGCGUGGGGAG